CGACAGUCGUAAGUCUAUGUUACAGUAUAGGAGGUACGACAGUCGUAUGUCUAUGCUACAGUAUACGAGAUACGACAGUCGUAGCGCUACGAUCGCUUUGUGAAACGGGGUCUAGAAUGGUACAUAGUUUAAGACAGAGUGAUGACUGUUAAACUGAUACAGAACAGAGAU